GCCACCCGUGGCCUAGUGGUUAGAGCAGUUGUUUUCGAAAAUGAAGGGGUGGGGUUCGACCCCCAACGGUGGCA